rnacentral:lncRNA from 1 species
CUUACUCAUGGUUGCAGCCAGGUUUCAAACUGGUGUUUUUCCACAAAACAAGUAAAUUGCUCUACAGAUCAUCAUGCUUUCUCGCCAGUGGUAGGGUGUUUGUUUCUUCCUGAGUCAGACCAAAUUUUUAGUACCAGAUGCACACAAGAAAGUCUGCUUUAUUUGCUUUAGUGUUUUAUAUUAGUACUUGAUUUUGUUGGGUGGUGAGCUGCAGGAGUUACAGUGAUAGAUCAAAGACGCCAAGUUUCAGUUACAUCUAAUUGGAUUUCACUGACUCAAAAGAUUCCCAAGACCAAUAAAGCAGCACUGAAAGUGGCUAUUUACCCUUGCCUUUUGCCACAGCUGUUCUAGAGCGCAGGAAAAAGCUGGUGCUCUUCUUUCAGAAAUGUGAGACAUGGGAGUGCCUACAAACAUGACAGGAAAUAUUUCCUUGGAUGCAUCGGUCAUCUCCAUAACCCAGAUUUUUCUACAGAUUGUUGUGCUGGUCACUGAGUUACCAGGUUCAUCUGCUCCUGCUCUCAGACCUACGCUUGUGCAGCCAGAAAGUAUGUGGGAGUCUGCACGGGCAGAAGUUGUGCUGCAGCAGUUUGAGGUCUCCAUUUUUAACCUUUCCAGAAAAUGCUGCUGUUGGCAGCCUUCCACUACUCUGCUUCUCUGGGGGCUCACCUACAGUGAAUCAUGCUCAGGGAAUUGCCCUGUGCUUAGCUGCUGGACACUGCUUUACUGCAAGAAACGAUUUUUACACUGCAAAUAUUUGCAGCUCUCCAAACCUACGAAAACAAUGUUUGUCGAUGCUCUAGAGAUCAAUGUUAAUCCAAGAAGCCUAGUGCAAUCAGAAGGAUGUUUUGAUUUAUUAGUAAUAUAUUUUAAAAGCAAACAAAUUAGUUUAUAG